UGCUAACCCUGACUCUUUUCUGUCCUUUCCCGGUACUCUAUUUCAGAAACUUUACCUGUGUACCAACAAAAUUUAGAGAAUGCUCCCUAAAUUCUUCAGGGCUGAAAUGAAUAAACUGAUGCACAAAAACACUCUGCACCAAGCCACUGAUGCUGAGAGGGAUGGAGAAGAAGUGGUGGCGGAGACUCAAGACUGUUUUUCCUACUUCUUCAGUGCCUCUUUCAGCAAUAUGAAGUUAAAACCAAGUGCUGUCUCAGAAAGAAUGCCCAUGUGCUGUCCUUCACAUGGCCUGUGGAUACUGAAAACAAAACAAUGAAAGAACAAGACCUCUGAUAGAUUUCAUGGGCUUCUUGGAGGACCAACGUCAGUCAAUGGAAGUGUGAUGACUUAUCAGAGGCUUCCUUGGUUGCAGUACAGAAGAUGCAAUGCCAGCAGUGCUUUUUCAGGAGCUCCCUCUGAAGAAGAUCAUGGCUCAGUUACCAUGGACACCAAGAAGCUAUGCAGCUUUUUAUUCUUUUUACUUCCUUCAUUAUGUGCCCUCCCAGGAAAUAUAUUUUCAUUAGUAACUAGGUUUUGAAACUUUUGCCAAGACACCAGCCUAACCUAUUGCUCUCUAAACAAAUACCUUCAGUAUCUAAUACAUAGGUAUAUGCCAGUCUGAGCCAACUGUGCUAUUAGGAAACUAAUAAAUACUCCUUUGCUUCCUAUUUAAUGAGAAAAAGCACGACAAUAUUGCUCAUGCCAGAUCAGGUUUUGAUUGGUAUGUGCUUAUCCUUCAUAAACAAAUGUAUUUUAUAUGAAAAACCACAGGGGAAAUAUUUUUAUUUAUUUUAUUAGUUGUACAAAAGCCAUGUUGGCAACUGAAGAACCAAUAAAAUAAAAUUGUCUCAUGUGGUUCUUAUUAUGGAAUCAAAUAGUAAUGUAAAAGGCAAGCACACACCAAUCAUAAUUCCAUCUGGCUGAAAGAACAGGAAAAUGUGGCUCCAUUUUCAUUAGGAAAAGGAGGCAUAUAUUUCAUAAUGUGUUCAAAUGUGGCUCUAAAGGUACUCCCAGUACACUACUGCAUUUUGUACCACUCAUGGGGUGCCAUAUCUACUGAUGCAGGUUAAUGUAAUCAAAGUGACUUGAAAGGAGAGGACUGCUGUUAGCCUUGCAUCUGCAUUAAUAGAGCACCAACAGAAGCUAGAGCAACAUUUCUUGGCAUUCUGGAAAGAAAUGCAUGUUGAACCAGUAAGCAAUAUGUAUAGCCCUUGCAAUAUACACUUGGCAUAUUUGCAGCAAGUAAGUUGCCAUUCAUGUAACCACCAAAAAUACAUUCCAGAAUGUUUACUCUUUUCAGUAAGCAGAUAAUACCAUUCAAGCUCUGGACUUAAAAGAUUGCAUGCAUAAAUAUUUUCUAAAUUCCUUUAGUGCUGUUUUUGGUUUAUCUUCAAGGAAAUAUAAGGGUAGCUAUUAUCAAUAGAAGGUAGGUAUUCAUUUGUAAGAGGUUGGGUCAGCAAGACACUGCUCUAUUGAAUCAUAUCUGGGACAACAUGGAGUGGUCAUUUGGGCCUCUGGGAAGUGUGGCAUGGAAGAGUAGUUCUUUAUUAAGAACAAGAAAGUAGCUAGCCCUGAGAAUAAAGGUUGAUUUGCUUUGCUGAAACUGGUUUUCCAGCCUCUGUUGGUGAUUUGUUUUUGAAGUCUUGCUUUUUUUUCUUUCUCUUAAUCUGCUUGUGAGUAGAUGACUAAGUGAUCACGUCACCUAGAAAUAUGUGUGAGUCUCCUGAUUUUUGACUCAUGUGUGCCACAACUAGGAUGGAAUGAUUUCCCUAUCCUGAACUUGUUUGGGAGUGCAGAAAAAAUGAUGUAAGUUUUUGACAUAUUUUGUUAAAUAGGUAUGAGACUUAUGUAUGACACAUUUACUUGGCAGAAAAGUAAGUGCAGGAGGGGAUUCAAGUCACACAAAAGCUCUGGAUUUAUAAUCCUACUUAAACAUCUAUACAUUUUGUAAAUUCACUUAAAAUAUAGAGUCAGCAGACAAAAAUUGAAACUUAUGACUAAAGUAAAUGUUUUUGAAAAGUUAAUAUGGUGUUUUCAUUAACAGCAUCCAUAAUUACUAAAUGUAUCCAGAAUCUAUACUACUGGAUGUGUUUAUUUGGUAACCAAAUGUCUGAUCAAAUAUAUUAUUGGACCUGAAAUAGCCUCUCCACUGGACACUAGUCAACCAUAGAAUAUGACGUUUGGCUAGUAUUCCUAAGAAUCUAACAGUAGAUGCUAAGUGGGAGGAAAAUUUGUUUGCCUUCUUAGGGUUUAAUUAUACCUGGAACAAUUGGAGGCCGUAUAUAAAAGGGACUGACCAGCUUCUGACACUAUUUUUCUUCUUCUUUACUGAGAAAGGCUGACAAAGAAACACUAGUGAGGUCCUGGCUUUGGCAUCAGGAAGUCCUGAAUUUGAAUACUUGAUCUGCCACCUAAUAACUGAUUUAUUAACCAGAUGCUUUUCCUUUGGAAAUCCAAUGAAAGGAUAGAUCUUGAAUAUUUUUGCUUACCAUUUUAUCUCCAAACGAUCAUCCUGUGUAAGGCACAAAUUAGAUGUUCAAUAUAUAGUAUUAGGGAAAAAAAGUGAAGGUAAAAAUAUCUCUAAACUUAAUUUUUCUUAUUUUCCUAAUUUAUAAAAUACUAACAGUUUUUUUUGACACAGGGUUUUUCUGUGUUGCCCAGGCUAGAGUGCAGUGGCACAAUCACGGCUCUGUAGCCUUGACCUCCCAGGCUCCGACUAUCCUCCCACCUCAGCCUCCCAAGUAGCUGGGACUAUAGAUGCAUGCCACCACACCCAGCUAAUUUUUGUAUUUUUUUCUAAAGACAGGGUCUCGCCUUGUUGUCCAGGCUGGUCUCAAACUCCUGGGCUCAAGCGAGCCACCUGCCUAGGCCUCCCAAAGUGCCAGGAUAAUAGGAGUGAGCCACCAUGUCUGGCCACUAAUACUUAUUUUACAGGGUUAUUUUAAGGAUUAAAUGUGAUAUUUUAUGUAUAAAACCUAGAAUAUUUCUUAACAUAACACAGGUGAAUGCUUAAAAGGUGUGAUGGUAAUUAUUUAUUUGAUAGGCUAUACACCUAUAUAUGAAAUACUUUAAUUUUUUCUCUAUCUGAUGCCUUCCUUGACUGUACUUAACAAUUAAUUUGCCCCUUGAAGGUGAAGACGAGGUACAUUUUGAAGAAAGAAGAAAAAGGAUGGGGACUUAGAAAUAAUAUCAUAUACAUUUGAAAGACACACACAAACCAAAAUAUUUUUCUUUUACAAAAUGCCCAAACCCUAACCAAUGUUAAUAUAUCUCCAUCAAAUGCCUAGAAGGCUUUUUUAUAUACAAUUCAAAUAUGUGUAGAUUAUAUUGUAAAAAAAAAUUUUCAAUUCUAUUGAUUUGAAUUCAAUAGGAAUGAAGAGAGGGAUAAACAAUGGCAAUUUUUUUUUUUUUCAUGAAGACAACCUUUUUGUCUUGAGCCCUUUUAGCCAUGUAAUGUAGAUCAGCAUGAGUAAGAAAACAGACCAGGAUGGAAAAGGAAGUAUUGGUCAUUUUAAUGUUGUAUUACAGGGUGACUAGCAACAGAGUGAGGAAGGGAACAGAGAAGUAGUUUGGUGAGGUCAAUAGCACUGCAGAUAUGGGAGGUAAAAACGAAGCAAACUUAACCCUACAGGGUAUGCCUGCCAAGAACCGCCGCCUUCACGGAAUUGCAAGACAGCAAGGAUGGAAGGCACAGGUUUUCUGUACCAACUUUUAGGGCUUUGUACAUGAGUGGCCCCAGGCCUCCUGUGUAUGGGCCACUGAUUAAUCCUUUGAACAGCAUUGCUUCUGUUUUCCGAAAGCUGGGCUGGAGCUCAGCGCAGCCGCCGUGCCAAGCCACUAGAAAGGAAAACCAGAACCGGCGCUGAUCUUUCAGCACUGUGUUCCCAUCUACAAUGUUUAUUUCUCUAAAUCUUUUAACAAUUAAAAUACUCUCAAUUAGUAUACAACCAUCUUUAUGAUUUGCUAUAUUCUUUCAACUUUCAGUGUAACAUUAUUUAUUUUAACUUCAAUUUACUUUUGAUGUGGUGCAUGUAUACAAUUUACCACAGAACCCGUUUUAACAUUUAACAGCACGCUUCCUUUUUCCUUCCUCAAACUAUUUUAAAUCACAUGUUUUAAAUUUUCAUUGGAUUCAGAUAUGUUUUCAGCAGAUAGACAGUAAAACAAACAGAAACAAAUUGAUUUUGGUAAACAGCAGAGAUGUAACACGAAGCAAAAGUUCAAUUUAUACUUUUCAUGUUUUGCUUACCCAUUUUUUUUUGACAAAGGGUACAAUUUUUUAUUUUAACAGAUAAGAUCAUCUCAACUAGAGGCAAUAACCAUACUAUUACAGUCUUGUUUUUCCUUCGUUUGAGCCGAUGGUCUUAUCUUUGAAUUAUCACACCAUGUUAAGAUUUCUUUAACAGUUAGUACAUGGUUGGGUGGGUAAUGGUUGUACUACAAAAUCUCGUGUUUAUUUAAAAUACAAAGAGCAUAACUACC
rnacentral:lncRNA from 10 species